AUGGGGAACCCUGGUGCAUUUCAUCAUUCUAUUACCCUACAAUCCUUCACUGUCUUCUUCCUUCUUGCUGUUUUUGUAGCAGAUUAUCAUGUCCAGGGAGGAGAUGAUGGAUGCUCACUGUUCUCCUGUGGAUAUCUCCGAGACAUAUCAUAUCCUUUCCGUCGGCGAGGUGAUCCUCAUGAGUGCGGUGUUGAAGAAUACGAGCUGGGUUGCACCAGUAGCAAGGCUACGAUUCACAUCAACACGGGAACAUACUAUGUGACUGCCAUCAACUACACUGGUUCCUACUUCUGGGUCAUGGAUACCAACUUCAAUACCAGUAGCAGUUGCCCUCUUCCACUGUGGAAUCACCUUCCUUACAGUGGAUCUGGCACAACUGAUUCAGGAGAGCACGGCACAACUGAUUCAGCCUCACCUGUCUUUCAGUAUUUGGCCACUCAAAGCGACUACAUAGCAUGUUUUGCUAAUUGUUCACGAGCAGUAACAAAUAGUAGUGCAUACAAGCCCGUUGCUUGCCUGAGUGCCAAAAAUUCACAUGUUUAUGUCUGGGUGUCUCCUUACAGUUGUGCGGUUGAAGAUCUUGGACCUUACUGUGGAUACCUCGGAGAGAUUCCAUUUGGUGACAAGUAUCCUUCUGAUUGGCGACAGCUACAUAAUGCAAGUUAUGCAGAUAUCACACAAUUCAUAAGUAAGGGGUUUACUGUCCAAUUUCCUGUGGACACCAUGGGGCCUUCUACUUCUGUGAUGUUAAGAAAGGACAUCAAUUUAUGCCUCAACAAUUCAAUCAGCUACUUCAAGGAGCAAAUAUCUGGCACAAGCAUUGUUAAUUGGACUCAUGCUAUUUUCUGGAGUGAGGUGCACUUCUUAGAAUGCAUGAUCACUGGGAGCUCUAACGAUGAUUACUACCCCACAACUCGGAGCUCUAACUAUGAUUACUACGCCACAAUAAAGUUGUGUUUGAUUACUGCAACCUUAGUAUCUGCUAUUGCUAUCCCCCAGUUCUUUUUUGUACUGUGCAGGUUCUUGUUGGCACCCCUGGCUGUAUGGAUAUUCCUAGCCUACAAGUACAUGAAAACAAGGAUCAUAAUUGAUGCAGUUGAGAAGUUCCUCAGGAUUCAACAAAUGAUUGGCCCGGCGAGGUACUCCUACACAGAUAUAGUUGCAGUCACAAGCCAUUUCAGAGAUAAAUUGGGCCAAGGGGGCUACGGCUCUGUGUACAAGGGUGUGCUUCUUCCAGGCGGUGUCCAUGUCGCCGUGAAGAUGCUAGAGGGCAACUCAAACUGCAAUGGAGAAGAUUUCAUCAGCGAGGUCUCCACCAUCGGCAGGAUCCACCAUGUCAACGUUGUGCGUUUGGUGGGGUUCUGCUCGGAGGAAAUGCGAAGGGCCUUAGUCUACGAGUACAUGCCCAAUGGUUCUCUGGACAAGUACAUCUUCUCUACCGAGAAGAGCUUCUCAUGGGACAAGCUCAACGAGAUCGCUCUAGGCAUUGCCAGGGGGAUCAACUACCUACACCAGGGGUGCGACAUGCAGAUUCUACACUUUGAUAUCAAGCCGCACAACAUCCUUCUCGACAGCAAUUUCGUCCCGAAGGUCGCCGAUUUCGGACUCGCCAAACUGUACCCAAGGGGCGACAGUUUCGUGCCUUUGAGCGCCAUGCGGGGAACCGUCGGCUACGUAGCUCCUGAGAUGAUAUCCCGGAGCUUCGGCGUCAUAUCCAGCAAGUCCAAUGUGUACAGCUUCGGGAUGUUGCUGCUGGAGAUGGCCGGCGGGAGAAGGAACGCUGAUCCAAACAUGGGGUCCUCAAGCCAGGCGUACUACCCGUCAUGGGUGUACGACCAGCUGACUCAGGAAGAAGCGGGCGAGAUAUCUCCAGUUGCUGCCGACAUGCACGAGCUAGAGAAGAAGUUGUGUGUUGUCGGACUAUGGUGUAUUCAGAUGAGGUCUCGUGAUUGGCCAACUAUGGGCGAGGUCAUAGAGAUUCUGGAGGCCGGGGCUGAUGGCCUGCAGAUGCCUUCAAGGCCAUUUUUCUGCGACGAAGGGCACAUCCAUGUGGAGGACUCUUACCAGUUCACUUCCGAGCUGACGGCAGUCUCGGAGGAGGAAUUUAGUGCGGUGUCAGAGGAAGAUGAUGUGUGA
rnacentral:rRNA from 1 species